rnacentral:lncRNA from 1 species
GGAGGUGGCAUUUUAAGAAAUAAUUAACCCAACCACUAAGCAAUGUAAGUUGGAGCUGGCAAAAGCUGAGAUAUUAAGACAGACACUAAGCAAGCCAUGUUUAUUAUUAACUGAAUCAAGAUCCUAAUCAGUUUCCUUAGCAAAAUUCGCACUUUCCAUACCUGCUCCCUUUCUCUUUCAAUUCCGAGUUCUACUAUUCUUAAAUCUUUUCCAAAUUCCUUAGUUUUGGCUGCACUUUCAAGUGUACAAAGAUGGUGAAGUUAUAAUUUUGAAUUGGGAAGGACUUGAAGACAUCAAGUAGAUAUUAGAGCUGUCCAUUUCCAGCCCAAAGCAUAAUUGAAUUCAAGAAGUGAUAAGGUAAGUAUAAGUUUUAUAAAAAGUUUAUAACAAUUAGUUAGUUAUAUGUGAUACAAUAUGAUUUGUGGCUGCAAUAUCUUUGAGUUAGAAAAAAUGAGACUAGUUGUUGUGCGGAGUAAUAAGGGAGGAAAAAAUUGGGUUUGAAUAAGUAUAAACUCCUAUGAAAUCUGUUCCAAAAUUGGUUGCACAUAUGAUGUUUGUUAAAAGUCCUAAUAGGGGUGCUUAGCUUAAAUACUGAUAUUAAAUAAAGUUUGAAGUCAAGAACUCUGUAAGCAUGCUAUGUUAAGUAAAUGGAGUGGUUUUUGUAAAUUUAAAAAGGGUAGAAACCUGUUUUGGGAAAAAUAACUAGUUCAAGCUCAGUUAAGAAACUGCUUUAACAGAGCAGUUUCGGGGAUUUAUUAAACUAGUCUGGAAUGUCCAAUUUGGAUGGUUUAUAUUUUUUUAAAAAUACUAUGUUAUGCCUUCUAUAACAUACUCAAAUUUGGUUGCAAUCAAAUUUAUGAUUUAAAAGUUAAAAAUGUGCAAAGUGGCUAUGUUAGUCGAGGGCUGCCACUACAGCAGACAGCAGGCAGCAGCAGCAGGGGCGCGAGCGCUGCGCUGCAGCAGUUUAGCUGGGAAAAUGGUUGGGCGGCUAGGCUGUUUUAAUGCUUUUGAUGCUAAGCUCAUGUGAGUUGUUAGUGAGACAAUAAAAUACAUAAGAAUUAAUACAUUGUCUAUAAUUAGUAUAUAAAAUCAUAAAUAAAUUCAAUAAUUGAAUAAAAUUAGAAAUAAAUCAUUUAAAAGCAAGUUUAAGCUAAAGGCUUGAUAUACUUAUAUAUAUUGAGCUAUGAAUGGUUGAAAUUACAUUGUAAAGCUAAAAGCAUAAUAUUUUUAGAUGUAGUAACUAUGAAUGGUUCUAGCUACAUCCUAAAGUUAAUAAAAGAAAUAAUUAUGAACUAAAUAAGUUAAGUUGAAUAUAAUUACAGGAAAAUAGGUAUGUUAAGCUAUUAAAUGGUUGAAAAAUAAUAAUAAAAACUUUUGAGUUCAGAUUAAUGUUUAUGAAAUAUAUUAGUGUUAAGCUAUAUAUUAAUCUUUUGUGUAUUACAUAGGUGUGGUACUAGAUAAUACCGUUUCGAGCACACAACCACGAGUUGAAUCGAUAACGUUUCGACGCAAAGGUAAGUAUACUAACUUUCCUUUCUAAGUUAUAAAUUUUGAACAAAGGUUCUUGUUAAGCUUGAAAUGAAUAUUUGACAUCUUCAAUUAGUAACUUUCCUAUGAAAUUAUUAUUCAAAUGUUAUUGAAGCUUUCUUUGAUAUAUGAAUUUGUAUUGUAAGUCUAUGUCAUUUGAGUUCGGCUAGACCAUAAUUGAUAAAUGUUCUAAGAUUCGCCAAGAAGUUAUAUUCGUCAGAAUUCUUCUAAUAAGAACACUUGUGAUAGACUGAAUUGAACAACCCUUUAAAUAGGGAACAUGUUAUCGAAGACUAUGGUUCUGAAUUACGCUAUUACGUUAAUAUGUUUGUGCACAAUACAUAGGUACAAAGGGUUGAUUCCCCUGCAUACGAAGAUGGUUGUCCACAGUCUUGCCUGAAUCAGGUCUCGUGACCCUCAGUUACUUGUUUAAAUCUUUUAUUGCUAAUCUUUGCAUUGAAAAUUCCUUUAUUCUAAAGAAUUUACAGAACUCCGUAGUUGCAGCUUGAUUUUAUUCAAACAAUACUCUUUUCAGUUAUUAAGCUUUUAUUUGUUUUCUUAUUAACUAUUUCACUUAAAUAAGUAUUACUUGCUGGGCAAUUUUGUUGUUUAUUUUUGCUAAAUGAAUUUCAGUUAAAAAUGAAAAGCUGGAGGGUCGUCAUCCGUCAAGGGAAAAGGAAAAUUGCAGGAGUAAGCGUAUUGUUAGCUAUAACCUUUGUAAUAUAUAUUAAAUAGCCAUGUACAUAGAUAUUUUUGGAUGUGCUAUAACCUUUGUAAUAUAUAUUAAAUAGCUAUGUAAAUAGAUAUUUUUGGAUGUGAUGUAAUAUUUUUGGUAUCAUGUUAUGUAAUGUUAAAGGUUAGACAAUCUGGGAUACAUUGAUGUAUAUAUAUUAUAUUUUGUAAGAACUGUUGUAAUAAUACAGGUUAUCGAAUGUGAUUGGGUGAACACUAAAUGGUAAGGAUACUCGGAUUUGGGGACAUCACAAUAUAUAUACCCUAAGCCAUUGUAUUUAUAACCUAAGCCAUUGUAUUUAUAAUUCUCUUGAAUGCACAAACAAAUUUAGC